GAUGAACGCUGGCGGCGUGCUUAACACAUGCAAGUCGAACGGUGAAGGCGGAGCUUGCUCUGCUGGAUCAGUGGCGAACGGGUGAGUAACACGUGAGCAAUCUGCCCCUGACUCUGGGAUAAGCGCUGGAAACGGCGUCUAAUACUGGAUACGAGCUGCGAAGGCAUCUUCAGCAGCUGGAAAGAACUUCGGUCAGGGAUGAGCUCGCGGCCUAUCAGCUUGUUGGUGAGGUAACGACUGCCCAAGGCGUCGACGGGUAGCCGGCCUGAGAGGGUGACCGGCCACAAUGGGACUGAGACAGGGACCAGACUGCUACGGGACGCAGCAGUGGGGAGUAUUGCACAAUGGGCGAAAGCCUGAUACAGCGACGCCGCGUGAGGAAAGACGGGCUUCGGGUUGUAAACCUCUUUUAGCGGAGAAGAAGCGAAAGUGACGGUACCUGCAGAAAAAGCGCCGGCUAACUACGUG
rnacentral:rRNA from 1 species